AUUCUUUCUAGCAUGGACAAGCCGGUACGGUUGGCAUCCCUGGCUAUGGUGGCACUUGUGGUGGUGGUAGCCCUGACUACGAUGGCGAUGGUGGUUGAGAGUGCCUCGGUGCGAGAACGUAAACCCACAAACCACUCCAAUAACACUUCAGUCAUUGCAGUGCCUUCAGAUCUACUGGUGCGCCUAGUGGAGGUGACACAAUCCCUUCAUAACUUGCUGCCGCGCCGGAGUGUAAGCGACGGAAACAUUGAGGCGACCCAAGAGACCGCUGGGCUAAAAGGUGCGUCUGGUGAGGAGCGGAUUCUUACACUUGCACUGACACAACAUGCGCUGCUGCAACACAGAAUGGAGGAACUACAACUACUACCAUUACUACUUCUACUAAUUAUAUUGCUGCUAUUACUUCUGUUCUACUGCUACUACUACUACUACUACUACUACUCAAAGGAGACUAUGUAGCCAGCUGUCAUUCAUUAUAUACUGACACAACAUGCUCUCCUUAACAGAUGAUCUUGGAACCUCAGGGAAAACAACAUGCAGCAAGUGAGUUGGAAUGGCUAGAACCAGAGGAUGGGGGUGUGCGUCCAGGGAGUUGAGGAGUGCCACUGCUUCAACUGAUGUGUGGGACCUUGAGGCAGAGGGUCCACCAGGUGUGUGUGUGUGUGUGUGUGUGUGUGUGUGUGUGUGUGUGUGUGUGUGUGUGUGUGUGUGUGUGUGUGUGUGUGUGUGUGUGUGUGUGUGUGUGUGUGAAUGUUUUCCUACUUGUGGUGAAUGGUAAGGAAAAAGUGUGUGGUGGUGUGUGGUGUGGCCUUGCUUGUGGCAGAUGCAUUGGGGAGUGUGUGGUGGUGUGUGGUGUGACCUUGCUUGUGGCAGAUGCACUGGGGAGUGUGUGGUGGUGUGUGGUGUGACCUUAGUAACUUAACUUCUUAGUAACUUGUUUGAUAAUGGACUCCCUUGAAAACUGAUGACAAAAAUAGAAUGCUAGGUAUAGAAAAUGCGCCCAGAUUAUUAGUAUGAAAUAUCUGGGGAUUAAUUCGCUAGCAAACUAACACUAGACAAGAAACGUGACACGGAAAAAGAGAAGUUUGAAAAGUGUGACAGUAUGAGAGCUGCCGAGGUUUAGUAGGUGAGUGGGUGGGCGCGGGCGUGAGAGUGUGUGUGUGUGUGUGGGCUGAGAGUCCGUGCGUGUGUGUGGGCGUGAGAGUCCGUGCGUGAGCGUGGGCGUGAGAGUGCGCGUGCGUUGGCGUGAGAGUGCAUGUGGAUGUGCGUGGGAGAGUGCGUGGGCGUGGGCGUGAGAGAGCGUGUGCGUGCGUGGGCGUAGGCGUGCGUGUGUGUGUGUGCGUGGGCGUGAGUGCGUGUGCGUGCGUGGGCGUGGGCGUCCGAGACUGUGUGUGCGUGGGCGUGAGUGCGUAUGUGUGUCCAUGGGCGUGAGAGUGCGUGUGCGUGAGAGUGCGUGGGCGUGAGAAUGCGUGUGCGUGAGAGUGCGUGGGCGUGCGGGUGUUUGUGCAUGGGCGUGAGUGCGAGUGCGUGCGUGGGCGUGAGAGUGCGUGUGCGUGCGUGGGCGUGAGUGCAUGUGCGUGAGUGCGUGGACGUGCGAGUACGUGUGUGCAUGGGCGUGAGUGCGAGAGCGUGCGUGGGCGUGAGAGUGCGUCUGCGUGGGCGUGAUUGCGUGUGCGUGCGUGGGCAUGAGUGUGUGUGCGUGCGUGGGCGUGAGUGGGUGUGCUAGGGCGUGGGCACUAGUGCGUGUGCAUACGUGGGCACGAGAGUGCGUAUGCGUGGGUGUGAGUGCGUGUGCGUGCGUGGGUGUGAGUGCGUGUGCGUGAGACGUGCGUGGGCGUGCGAGUGUGUGCGUGGACGUGAGAGUGCGUGUGCGUGGGCCUGAGUGCGUGUGCGUGUGCGUGAGUGCGUGUGUGAGUGAGUGGGCGUGUGCGUAAAUGUGCGUGCGUUUGCAUGAGUGCGUGUGCGUGGGCGUGAGUGCGUGUUCGUAGGAGUGAGAGUGAGUGCGUGGGCGUGAGAGCGCGUGUGCGUGCGUGGGCGCGAGUGCGUGGGCAUCAGAGUGCGUGUGCGUGCGUGGGCGUGAGUGCGUGGGCGUGCGAAUGUGUGUGUGUGCGUGGGCGUGAGUGCGUAUGCGUGCUUGGGUGUGGGCGUGUGUGUG